rfam:Trichobilharzia regenti genome assembly, scaffold: TRE_scaffold0062502
AUCCAGCUGACGAGUCCCAAACAGGUCUAAAUGUGCAUCCUGGGU